AUCACUGUCCUUCAGUUCUCAUUCAUUCCCAGUAAAGAUGACGACACUCGCUCUGAUCAUCUGCUCUCUGCUGCUGCUCCUCAAAGAGUGUAGAGGACAGAUCACCGUCACUCAGAGUCCCUCAAUGACAGCAGCUCAACCAGGAGAAACAGUCAAAAUCAGCUGUAGAACCAACAGCGUUGUGCACAGGGAUAGUCAUGGGGAUAAUUUUGCAUGGUACUUACAGAAACCUGAAGAAGCUCCUAAACUCCUGAUUUAUUACACAAGCUGGCAUCAGAAAGGAACUCCAUCUAGAUUCAGUGGCAGUGGAUCAUCUAGGACUGAUUUCACUCUGACCAUCAGUGGAGUCCAGACUGAAGAUGCUGGACAUUAUUACUGUCUCAGUUUUCAUUGCAGAACAAGUGGUGGUUCUUGUUUGGGUGAUCGUGCAUACGCACAGUGAUAAAGAGUCGUACAAAAACUUUGUCAGUCAGAGUCACAGUGACUGAACUGAUACUGCAGCUGCUCAAACACUGAACAUAAUAUGAUUUUACAGAACAUAAUUUUUGUUGAGCUUUAUUAGUAAAACCUUUUGGCACACUUUGGCAAUAGAAUCAACAUUGGCUACUAAAAUUUUUUGCUUACU